rnacentral:rRNA from 1 species
UACAGAGGUCCCAAGCGUUGUUCGGAAUUACUGGGCGUAAAGGGCGCGCAGGCGGCCCUCCAAGUCAGGCGUGAAAGCCCCGGGCUCAACCCGGGAAUAGCGCUUGAGACUGGGGGGCUUGAGUUCGGGAGAGGAGAGUGGAAUUCCCAGUGUAGAGGUGAAAUUCGUAGAUAUUGGGAAGAACACCGGUGGCGAAGGCGGCUCUCUGGACCGACACUGACGCUGAGGCGCGAAAGCGUGGGGAGCGAACAGG